rnacentral:lncRNA from 1 species
AAAUUCCCCAACCUCUCUGCCUUGCAUGUGCCUUUACCCGCUGCUCCUGCUGCCUGGCCAGGUGAGUCCAUAAGGUGGUUCGAGCUUCUUUGGUUUUUCGCGUUGGCGUCGGUAGGCUAGCCGGAAUAGUUUAGUUUGGGUCGGUCGGGUCAGUCGCGCGUUCUAGUUUUUUUUUUGGGGGGGGUUGGGAGGAGCACUUGCAUACCGGCAGCCUUUCAGUAUCAGCAAUGCAGCUUUCUCUCCUGGCCAGCAACUUUACGCCUCUUUUACGUCAGCACUUUCUUUUCUCGCCGCCUUCACUACUUUUUCUACACCUACUAGUUUACGUUUUGGCUAUAAUAUUUCUGGCGGCUUAGGUAGGUAGGACUUCCAACUUCUACGCCAAUUCUUCAUCCCGAGGUUACAGUCGUCAUCCCGAGGUUACAGUCGUCACAUUCGCCACGGACGCCUUUCGGUCAGUUCUUUCGGUUGCUACUAUCUUGCUCUGGCAGCAGCUUAAAUCGCGUGUGGUUCGUCUUUCCCCCUCUCCCCCCGGUACGCCGCCACCGCCGCCGCCGCCGCCUCUCACCGCGCCUUUGUGUUCGCCCGCCUCCUCCCCCGGCAAUCCCCGACAG